rnacentral:rRNA from 1 species
GACGAACGCUGGCGGCGUGCUUAACACAUGCAAGUCGAACGGAAAGGCCCUGCUUUUGUGGUGUUCUCGAGUGGCGAUCGCGUGCGUAACACGUGAGUAACCUGCCCUUCACUUUGGUAUAACUUCAGGAAACUGGGGCUACUACCGUAUAGGAGCUCCUGCUGCAUGGUGGGGGUUGGAAAUUUUCGGCGGUUGGGGAUGGACUCGCGGCUUAUCAGCUUGUUGGUGGGGUAGUGGCUUACCAAGGCUGUGACGGGUAGCCGGCCUGAGAGGGUGACCGGCCACAUUGGGACUGAGAUACGGCCCAGACUCCUACGGGAGGCAGCAGUGGGGAAUAUUGCACAAUGGGCGGAAGCCUGAUGCAGAAACGCCGCGUGCGGGAUGACGGCCUUCGGGUUGUAAACCGCUUUCGCCUGUGACGAAGCGUGAGUGACGGUAAUGGAUAAAGAAGCACCGGCUAACUACGUG